AACGAACGCUGGCGGCAGGCUUAACACAUGCAAGUCGAGCGAGACCUUCGGGUCUAGCGGCGGACGGGUGAGUAACGCGUGGGAACGUGCCCUUCUCUACGGAAUAGCCCCGGGAAACUGGGAGUAAUACCGUAUACGCCCUUUGGGGGAAAGAUUUAUCGGAGAAGGAUCGGCCCGCGUUGGAUUAGGUAGUUGGUGGGGUAAUGGCCCACCAAGCCGACGAUCCAUAGCUGGUUUGAGAGGAUGAUCAGCCACACUGGGACUGAGACACGGCCCAGACUCCUACGGGAGGCAGCAGUGGGGAAUCUUAGACAAUGGGGGCAACCCUGAUCUAGCCAUGCCGCGUGAGUGAUGAAGGCCUUAGGGUUGUAAAGCUCUUUCAGCGGGAAGAUAAUGACGGUACCAGCAGAAGAAGCCCCGGCUAACUCCGUG
rnacentral:rRNA from 1 species